CGCAGCUUGCUCUCCGGGUUCUGGAAUUUUCAAAGAUCGAAAUACACUAAAUGGAAAUGCCACUUCUAAAGACAGGAAGGGUAACCUUCAUCUCCAUCCGUCAGGCAUCCUCUAGUGGCUCUGAGGCCCCAGCCCCCUUUCUGCUGAUGGACGGAGGACCCAGGCUGACCCCAGGCUGCUCACCUGCUCCUGGUAGGUGCUCAAUAAACUGUUGCCGAAGGUGCACAAGAGAGCAAAGUGCGAAGCUGUUGUCUCCUCACCCCAGCAGGGUCCAGGAAAGGGCUGGGGAAGUCAGAGAAGGAUCCCCGAGUGCGGAGAAGCCACCCCUCCUGGAAAGUGUCCUGGAUAUCCCUUGGGCCCUUGCAUGGGCCCAAGAAAGGAAAUGGAGCAGCAGGACAAACUGGCACUCAGCCCCCUCCUCAGGCCCAAGGAGGCAGAGGCCUGGGCUUGUAUGCAGGCCUCAGCGAUGCCAGGACCUGGUCUGGCCUUGCCCUGGGACCUCGGAGAGUGGCCUCCACUGCACUGCCACACCCCCGGCAGUGCUGCUGUCCCUGUCCAGGUGACAGGCAACGUGACUUGUUGAGGUUGCACAC
rnacentral:lncRNA from 1 species